rnacentral:lncRNA from 1 species
GGAGCUACAGAUGAUCCCACUGUAUUUCCUUAAUGAUAUGCACAAACUUAUACAUCUACCAUUUUGUCCUGCCCCCAACCAUCUAAUCCUCAUUAUGCCAGAUGGUCUUUUUGCAGUGCCUCUUGCCAUCUGUCAUCCCAUGAGUCCUUCUCUGGACAGGCCUGCUCAGCACUCCCAGCUUUCUCCAAUCAAGAAGGAUAACGCUGAUGUAUUCCCAGUGUAAUGGAAUAAGAAGUGUUUGCAUGUUUUCUACUUUUCAGGAAUAAGAACUGAAUUGAAAUGGCAAGUAACACCGAAGCUUUCAUUCUGCCUGAGUGACAGCAAUGUGAAACAGAUGACAUAUCUUGAUGACAAUUAUGGUACUACUUGGCAGGAGCAAGUGAAGAAAGAAUUUGGCUUAGUAGCAUUAGAUAGCUGCCCAGACAAACUCUGCAAAGACUAGGAAGGGUUAGAGGCAUCAAGUUACUGCAUACGCAAUUAAUGAAAGAAUUGCAUCAUGCACUUGGGGGAACUCUCAGAUAUUAAGAUAGGACUUACAUGUAUCCCAAGACAUGUCAGUCUUGCAAGUAUUGACUUUUGAGAGGAAAACAAAACAAACAAAAGCUACCCCCCCAAAACCCUCACAUGUGGGGUGUUUUUUAUAUAUUAAAAAAUGAUUGUGUUUUGUCAUAUAACCCUAGAUUAAAACACUUGCUUGGUACUUUGAGAAUUAUGCACAACUUACUGCUGAAGUAGUACUGUUCUCAUGGAUGUAUGAGAAAGAUGAAAAAACCUAAAAUAAUGCAUUCCAAAUGUCAGCAUUUUGGAAUGGUUUUUUCUCAACUCAAACUAAACUACAAAAUGAAUUGAAGUGUAAUAUUGUCUCAUUUUGCAAAUUUAGCAUGAUUAGAAUUCAUGUGCAACUCUAAAAUUAUUCUUUUACAUGAACAUAACAUGCAUUACUAUAAGCAACACAUAUCACAUAAAAAGUCGGUAAAUAUUUUGGUCACCUGCUGUUAGUCAGGUGCUACAAGAAUUGGAUUAAGAGACACAUAGAAU